AACCAUAGAAACCUGCGGAGUACCUGCGGAGGGAUCAUUACAGAGUUCGUGCCCUCGCGGGUAGAUCUCCCACCCUUGUGUAUUUUCUACAUCUUGUUGCUUUGGCAGGCCGUUGGUUCGCCAACCACCGGCUCGCGGGCUGGUGCGUGCCUGCCAGAGGACCUCUCAAACUCGGUUUGUUAGUGUCGUCUGAGUACCAUAACAAUCGUUAAAACUUUUAACAACGGAUCUCAGAUCGGA
rnacentral:misc_RNA from 1 species